GGGUUUAUCCAUUCUAGGUUGUUUCCAGUUCCUGACUAUUAGGAAUAAAGCUGCUGUGAACACAGUUGAGCAAGUGUCCUUGUGGUAGGAUAGAGAGUCCUGUGGGAAUAUGCCCAAGAGGAGUACAGCUGGGUCUUGAGGUAGAUCGUUUCCCAAUUUUUUGAGAAACUGCCAUAUUGAUUUCCAAAAUGGCUGUACAAGUUUGCCACCAGCAGUGGAGUAGUCUCCUUGCUCCACAUUCUUGCGAACAGGCACUAUCACCUGUGUUUUUGAUUUUAGCCAUUCUGACUUGUAUACGGUGGAAUCUCAAGGUCGUUUUGAUUUACAUUUCUAUGAGGGCCAUUUUCAUUCAAACUACCAUGGGUACUCGUUCCUCCUAACAGGGGAAGCUUCCAGACUACCCUUCAGCCUCAUGCCCUCCUCUUCCUCUUCUCUCAGAGGUUGAAUGGAGAAGGACAGAGAGAAAUAGGAACCCAGUGACAUGGGAGUCUUAGUGUACCUGAAAAAAAAAAAAAAAAGUCCAG
rnacentral:lncRNA from 1 species